rnacentral:miRNA from 1 species
UGACGGAUCCUGGCUCCCUCCG